rnacentral:rRNA from 1 species
AGUGAACGCUGGCGGUAGGCCUAACACAUGCGAGUCGAACGGCAGCACAGUAAGAGCUUGCUCUUACGGGUGGCGAGUGGCGGACGGGUGAGGAAUACAUCGGAAUCUACUUUUUCGUGGGGGAUAACGUAGGGAAACUUACGCUAAUACCGCAUACGACCUACGGGUGAAAGCAGGGGAUCUUCGGACCUUGCGCGAUUGAAUGAGCCGAUGUCGGAUUAGCUAGUUGGCGGGGUAAAGGCCCACCAUGGCGACGAUCCGUAGCUGGUCUGAGAGGAUGAUCAGCCACACGGGAACUGAGACACGGUCCAGACUCCUACGGGAGGCAGCAGUGGGGAAUAUUGGACAAUGGGCGCAAGCCUGAUCCAGCCAUACCGCGUGGGUGAAGAAGGCCUUCGGGUUGUAAAGCCCUUUUGUUGGGAAAGAAAAGCAGCAGGUUAAUACCCCGCUGUUCUGACGGUACCCAAAGAAUAAGCACCGGCUAACUUCGUG